GAUGAACGCUAGCGACAGGCCUAACACAUGCAAGUCGAGGGGCAGCACAAAGUAGCAAUACUUGGUGGCGACCGGCGCACGGGUGAGUAACACGUAUGCAACCUACCUGUAAGCGGGGAAUAACCCGGAGAAAUUCGGACUAACACCGCAUAAUACUGAAUUACUGCAUGGUUUUUCAGUUAAAUAUUUAUAGCUUACAGAUGGGCAUGCGUAUGAUUAGAUAGUUGGUAGGGUAACGGCCUACCAAGUCAACGAUCAUUAGGGGUUCUGAGAGGAAGGUCCCCCACACUGGUACUGAGACACGGACCAGACUCCUACGGGAGGCAGCAGUGAGGAAUAUUGGUCAAUGGGCGAGAGCCUGAACCAGCCAAGUCGCGUGAAGGAAGAAGGUUCUAUGGAUUGUAAACUUCUUUUGUAAGGGAAUAAAAAGAGUACGUGUACUCUAUUGUAUGUACUUUACGAAUAAGGAUCGGCUAACUCCGUG
rnacentral:rRNA from 1 species